GUACUAUGUGGGGAGUUAGCGGUGCCCUGUAACUUGCAAUCCGCUAUAGCAAGGCCGAAAAGUCCUUCGAGGCGUUUACCGUGGAAGGCUGCGUAGACCGGACGGCGUUGACGUUUUGGUCUUAUGCAACGCGUCCCCGUGAACCGCGUCAGGAUAGGAAUAUAGCAGCGCUAAGCGGAUAGCCGCGUGUGCCAUAAGGUAGCUUUGACCGAGCCGCGCCGCUCUA
rnacentral:SRP_RNA from 1 species